rnacentral:rRNA from 1 species
CCUACGGGAGGCAGCAGUGGGGAAUAUUGGACAAUGGGGGGAACCCUGAUCCAGCCAUGCCGCGUGUGUGAAGAAGGCCCUCGGGUUGUAAAGCACUUUCAGUGAGGAAGAACGCCUGGUGGUUAAUACCCAUCAGGAAAGACAUCACUCACAGAAGAAGCACCGGCUAACUCCGUGCCAGCAGCCGCGGUAAUACGGAGGGUGUGAGCGUUAAUCGGAAUUACUGGGCGUAAAGCGCGCGUAGGUGGCUUGAUAAGCCGGUUGUGAAAGCCCCGGGCUCAACCUGGGAACGGCAUCCGGAACUGUCAAGCUAGAGUGCAGGAGAGGAAGGUAGAAUUCCCGGUGUAGCGGUGAAAUGCGUAGAGAUCGGGAGGAAUACCAGUGGCGAAGGCGGCCUUCUGGACUGACACUGACACUGAGGUGCGAAAGCGUGGGUAGCAAACAGGAUUAGAUACCCGUGUAGUC